rnacentral:rRNA from 1 species
CCUACGGGCGGCAUCAGUGAGGAAUAUUGGUCAAUGGACGAGAGUCUGAACCAGCCAAGUAGCGUGAAGGAUGACUGCCCUAUGGGUUGUAAACUUCUUUUAUAUGGGAAUAAAAUGUUCCACGUGUGGGAUUUUGUAUGUACCAUAUGAAUAAGGAUCGGCUAACUCCGUGCCAGCAGCCGCGGUAAUACGGAGGAUCCGAGCGUUAUCCGGAUUUAUUGGGUUUAAGGGGAGCGUAGGUGGAUUGUUAAGUCAGUUGUGAAAGUUUGCGGCUCAACCGUAAAAUUGCAGUUGAAACUGGCAGUCUUGAGUACAGUAGAGGUGGGCGGAAUUCGUGGUGUAGCGGUGAAAUGCUUAGAUAUCACGAAGAACUCCGAUUGCGAAGGCAGUUCACUGGACUGCAACUGACACUGAGGCUCGAAAGUGUGGGUAUCAAACAGGAUUAGAUACCCUAGUAGUC